UCCAUCUACGUCGGAAAUGCUAAUAAAUGAGGUGGUCCUGUAAAGGUUCUAUGAGAUCGGCUUUUUCUUUAUAUACAAAUGUGAUCAAUUCUCAUUGGUGGUAUGUUUUGUUUAUUAAAUUAAUCAAGGCAUCUCUAGCACUAACUGGGUUUUAGAUUCUGUGUCUAAAGAACAAGCAAUUGAUCUCCAUGUUCUCUUUUUCCUGUCUGUCAACACUUGUCAUCUAGUUUUUGCUUGCCCUGCGAUAUCGUCUCCAAGACUCAACAUGUUUGAAGUUGAACAGAUUCUAUUUGACCAUAUGAUUUGCAACACUAGUAACAGAACAAUCAAAAUCUAAGUUCUCUUUUUUGAUUUGGAUUUAUUAAAGUGUUCUCCAAUUCAACAAAUUGCACAAGAACAAGUACGUGAUGGAUUGUAAAAAAAAAAAAUGGUUACAAUGAAGAACUUUCGCUGUUUUGCUUUCUUUCUUUUUUAUCAUGGAAGAAUACUAAAGAUUAAUUUAAAGGCAACAAAUGUAUCCAAAGAGUGGCCUGUAAGUUGUGCAAGUGUUCUAAUUCCAAGAGUGAGAUUCAGAUUUAAUACUUAUUUGAAUUGAGGGUUCUAAUGUGCUCUGCCCAUAUAAUGAAAAAUAUUUCAGGAUCAUGGAGGGGAAAGUUUUGGAGCGAAUGACAUUUUACUUGAUGAAAUUUUAUCAGGAGAUAAUGUCGGCUCAUUUUCUUCACCUAUGGUUCUUGGAACGGUACAUACAGAAGAGAAUGAGAUGAUAGGUCAGAUGGUUGAUAGCUUCUCAAAUAUCAAAGUUGAUGAAGAGUGUGGAUCAUUUCCUUCGGAGGUGAAUGUCUCCA